rnacentral:misc_RNA from 1 species
UACUAUCCCGCACUAAGGAUAGCAGUGGAAAGCCCGGAUGCCGGAGUUUACGAAGGCAACGGACUUGCAACGGAUAGCCUGACCCCGA